ensembl:lncRNA
GUCUUGAACCUCCAGGUGGGAAGAACCCGGAUCUGCCUCUGUGUUAGUGGUGAUGUCCACAACCCCCAGGUGGGAAGAAGCCGGAUCUGCCUCUUUCUUAGGGGUGAUGUCCUCAACCUCCAGGUGGGAAGAAGCCGGGUCUGUAUUAUGGGUGACAACAACAAUCCUGAUGAGCUCUACUACUACAAGGCACCAAGAUGUCAUCAGAACAGGCAUCUGUCAGAGUGUUCUCUAUCAUUUCUACUCACCUGCUUGGAUGCCAGCUGGUAGUGUGGUGGAAACGGCCACCGUGAGCACAGGGGGGACUGGUAGGGUGGCUGCAGGGGGCUGGAAGCAGCUCUGCACCUCGUCAGCCACAAAGCCACAGACAGAGCUGAUAUAAAAAGGGCUCUGCAGGUCAUCGGUGGAGAAGGACUGACUGAUUCUCCCGAGGAUCGACCGCACAGAGUCAAAAGCAGCAGCCCGGGAGAAAGGGAUGUGAGGGGAAGGGUCCUUUAACAUGCAGGAGAGCUUCUCCACUACGGCCGCCACCAUGCCCACGGCCAUCCCGCUUAUUAGGAUUGGGUGCUCUGAAUGGCCUUCCUCUGGCUGAAGCCACAGGGCCAGGAGGAGCCUGGGCACCACCUCCACCACCACCUGAGAUGGGCUGAGCAGGUUGCUACGGGGCUCAUUGGACUGCUCGCCCAGAAUGCUUCUCACAGCUUUCUCCACGAUGCUGUGGACCUUCGGAUCGCUGAAAUCAACAAUAAGGAGAAAACAAAGCCGAGCGAGGUCGUUUCCUUCCUCCAGGGUUUCCUUCCACACCCUUCAAAUAAAACACAGAGCAAUUCAACUUUCCUGGCUUCUGAUUUUUCUGUUGUUUAUUUUACCCACACCUCCUGGAGUGCUGCUGGUGGCAGGGAAUGGCAGUGAAUGUGAGUGCUGACGUGGUACUCACCUCUCCCUAAGAGAUUUUUUGCCCUGAGACACCAGCCAGUUGCUCAUGUGCUCCGUGGUGACAUGGGGAGGGACCUGGCCUUGACUCUGGAGCAGCAGAUAGUGGACCAUGAGCUUCUUCUGCAAGAUGAGGUAAGGUGUGAGUCUGUGCCACGAAAUACCAUAUCAUGUGCUUUCAGAAGGGCCUCUCGCAACAUUUCACAACUUCAAGUGAUUAUUAAGAACUCUUAUGACCACCUUCUCUAAACUGUCUUGAAAUACAACUCUUUUUCUGUUGUUUAUGUUUUUGUGGGCUGAAUCUCACCUGUUUAUUGUAAUAUGUUUCCUCCCAGCAGGCCUGCAGAGUCUGAAAAUAAAGGCUGCUUCUACAGAAAUCCUUUGAAGAUAAUGAAAAUAAUGAAAAUAAUGAUGCUUUGUUAUGCACAUUAUGCACAGGCAUUUACAGUAUGCUAAAAUGAAUUUAUCCUAAGAUUACCUUUGUGGGACCAUAAGUGAACUCCGGAAUGCACCAAACCCUAUCCAUGGUAAGAUGGGGAAGAAAUGCAGCGCUAUAGAUAUACGGGAUGCUCUAGAGACAACAGGAAUGACUUAAAGUCGCGAAUGAUCAAUGGCUGGAGUCCUCCAAUAUGCUGCACUUAGAAUUGAGUUGUAGGGAUGUUUGGCGCAAAAUAGAAUGUUUACAUUCUAUUGCCAUGGAGAAAUGGAAUGUGUAGAACCUGUAUAAUUGGGUAUGCUUCUAUGUCUUUAUUUCGUGAAACAUUAAACUCUUUAUUUUGUCAUAAUGUGUAUAUGAGGAUGUAGGAGCCCGUCCAGAUUCAUGACCCGAUUAUCCAGGUGCAUGUUGCUUAGACCAACUAAUCCAACCUUGGUUUCCAAGUUAAAUACAUUGUUUAUAUAUGCCUAUACAGUAUCUUUAUAUUAUCCACAUUGUAACAAAGUGUUUGUACACUUUAGCUAUGCAGCUGUAAUUACAUUUUUUUUUAAAUACACUGAAUUAUUAGUAUUAUUAUCAAAUUAUUAACAUCCCCUCUUGACCUGGCCGAUUUGAAUUGGUCCUUGUGUGCAAUUUGGUGCAUAAUAUAGGGGAACAACAUCACACUGCUACACCUAUACAAAUCUAUCGACCACAUCCAUUUAAAGCAAUGAUUGUCAAUUGAAAAUGUGGUUGUUGUGUUAUCCUGUUGUGCGGUUUGAGUGUCAGUCCCCUUAAGCACAUUAUUCCAAUAUUUUUCCAUGCUCUGAAUUGACAGAAUGGACACUUUUGAAAAGAUAUUCGGUUAAAAAUAAGAGUAUGAAUGACAAUAAACGUUUGACUUGGAUUGUGUGAAUAAUAGUGUAGUAAACAAUAUCGCUCAGCGUAGGAACUUUUGGUGUUUGGAAAGUAUCCGUUUUUAGUCUCCAUGACACGUAUCACUUCGUUGUCUUGUUGGUAAUAGUACAAAUGCAUGACAGUCCGCAUUGUAAUGGUCUAACAGGUGUUUUUCCUUUUGUUUCUCACAAUAAACAGACAUUUGAGAACGGAAUU